rnacentral:lncRNA from 1 species
CUCACUCGUUGUCUCAGUGGGCACAGAUGAAAAAACCUGAAGAAAGAGAAAAAGUAUCUUGUUUUGAUUUCUUCACUAAAUGAUUGCUUCAUUCAGUGCAGGAAUGUGGAAUUCUAGGACCAGCUGAAAGAUGUUGUGUGGGGAAUUCCUUUCUCAGCCUCUCUUCUCUUGGAGAUCCUGUUGCAUGACAGAACCAAAGCAGAGAGCAAGCUGCGUGCCCACAGUGCCACGUUACGAUGACUCUGCUGCGAGAAGUCCAGCACCCCUUGGGUUGGGUGUACACUCAGCAGGGUCUCUCACUUCUCAUGGCCACCCUCUGCAUGACAAGUUACAGAUAGUUGUGCCUGAUACACCAGCGAGGCAGCCACAAUCCUGUGGAGCACUCAGCAGACUGCUGCUGGCAUCCCACUUCAUCAGUACUGACUUCAUUCCAGCUUCAUGUGUGAAUUCCUUGCACACGGCAUCUUUGCCUACAGACCACGUUAUCUCCCUUCAAAUGAGUGUGUUGAUCAAAGCCACAAAGUUCAACAGCCACCUUUGAGCUCAGACUGUGCAGAUGGGGCAGAUACCAGAAAAAGACAACUCCUUCCAAACUGAGGGUCAAAUCUUCGUCUUGCCAUUUAAAUAAUAUUUAUGUUUGUUUUUCCAAAGAAAGUAUGGAUUUUAGCCUGACUGAUAUCAUUAAGCCUGAUUUUAUACUACUUAAUUAUCAACGUGCUCAUAGGGAGGGUUUCAGCUUACACCAGCUGGCAUUUUCCUAGGUCACGUCCAGAAGAGACACAAGGACACCCCUCCCAGGAGGCAAUAUGGACAACAUUCUCCUUCUUUGAAGAGUGAAGGAAAGGAGCAUUUCCCAUGCCACUUUUUUUUCUCAGGGUUUGCCCCUUCGCCUUUCUUUGCUGGCAUGGGUGUAGUUUGCACCCAGAUAAGACUUCCUGCAGAUCCCUGUACCCUACAGUGUUCAACAACAGAAGAAGUAAUUUUCUGCUAGGUUGAACAGGAGAGGAAACAAUUUGCUACUCAUGCCAUCACCCUUUGCGGAGCAAAAAUAUAGUGGGAUUAUGCUUGAGGCCUCCUCCUGAGUAAAAUGGAUCAUGCUGGGUGUGCACAAACUCACGUUACAGCUAUCUGUCUUCUUGCUUUAUGUGAAUUUCCUUUUCUUUUUUUUUCCUAAUUUUUGUUUCAUUUUGUAUAAUUUUGUUUAAGAUUAAAUAAUUGUGUCCAAUUAACAGAUUAUGUUUAUCUCUGUGCAACAUGAAAGUUGUAAGUCAGACAUUUAGGUACAAGAUGGGAAGUUUCAUAAUUACUUUUUGUAUGUUAUACCCGUGUGACAAUUUAUGUUGUAAAACCACUAUAUUUACAUUGUGUUAUAAUUAAAGGUUAUUUUUUAAGGUAUUUUAAAAGAUAUCCAUACAUGCCUCCUCUUGAGAUUGCUAACUUCUAUUAUCUUAAGCAUGUCAUAGAGGAAAUUUAUUAAAAAAUCCAGUGUUUGGCUUCUUUUUAUUUCCUUUGUGAUCCUGGUUUUGAUAAUCAUUAUUAAA